rnacentral:lncRNA from 1 species
AUUACUGAAUUAUCCUUGUUUCCCUUAUUCCUUCGUCUAGUUUUUCUUUUUCUUAAGUUUGUCUACUGCCAUUUUAUGACCAGAGAAAUACUACUUAAAAUUAGUUGCCAAGAGAGUUACAGCUUUCCUGUCAUUAGUAUCCUGCCAAUCAUUCCACGACUUCCUUUGGCUAAAGCAGUAAAUACCAUUUUCAACCUGGUCUCCCAAACUGGGACCCUAAUCAUGAGUGAAUAAAUCGAUGUUAAACCCUGCAUAGAUGCACUAGAAAUGUGUGAUGAUUUCUAGAGAAUUUCUGUUGAGCAGUCCUAGAGUUCUUACAUUUAAAAAGAAAGAGAGAAAGAAAGGACGUCCAGAUGUGUGAUGAUUUCUAGAGAAUUUAUGUUGACCAGUC